rnacentral:rRNA from 1 species
UACGUGGGGUGCGAGCGUUGUCCGGCAUUAUUGGGCGUAAAGGGCUCGUAGGCGGUCUGUCGCGUCGGUAGUGAAAACUCAGGGCUUAACCCUGAGCCUGCUUCCGAUACGGGCAGACUAGAGGUAUCCAGGGGAGAAUGGAAUUCCUGGUGUAGCGGUGAAAUGCGCAGAUAUCAGGAGGAACACCAGUGGCGAAGGCGGUUCUCUGGGCAUUACCUGACGCUGAGGAGCGAAAGUGUGGGGAGCGAACAGG